rnacentral:lncRNA from 1 species
UAAAGACGAAGAUUCUAUCACAGAUAAUACUGCAGCGAUAUGCAACAAAAAUGGAUUCGGUCAAAGUCUUUUAAUCACAUCACUAUUUCACUUCAUGUGAGCUGCAGAUCUUUAACAUUAAUACUCAAUUCUGUAAUCCAAGUAUAUUGCUUAGUUAACAAAAGUAAAUUCUUACAUGUAUAUUAAAGUUUUAAAGACGCACUUUUAAUUUACAGAUGUAAAAAUUAAACAAGCAUGAAUAUAUCAUUUGCAUAAUAUGAACAAUUAUAUUAGAAAAAAGAGAUAACAUUUAUAUAAA